rnacentral:rRNA from 1 species
GACGAACGCUGGCGGCGUGCUUAACACAUGCAAGUCGAGCGGUAAGGCCCUUUCGGGGGUACACGAGCGGCGAACGGGUGAGUAACACGUGGGUGACCUGCCCUCAGCUCUGGGAUAAGCCUGGGAAACCGGGUCUAAUACCGGAUAUGACUCCAUGACGCAUGUUGUGGGGUGGAAAGCCUUGUGCGGCUGAGGAUGGGCCCGCGGCCUAUCAGCUUGUUGGUGGGGUGAUGGCCUACCAAGGCGACGACGGGUAGCCGGCCUGAGAGGGCGACCGGCCACACUGGGACUGAGACACGGCCCAGACUCCUACGGGAGGCAGCAGUGGGGAAUUGUUCGCAAUGGGCGCAAGCCUGACGACGCAACGCCGCGUGGAGGAUGAAGGUCUUCGGAUUGUAAACUCCUGUUGCCCGGGACGAAUUGCUCCAACCUAAUACGUUGGAGUUUGACGGUACCGGGUGAGGAAGCCCCGGCUAACUCUGUGCCAGCCGCCGCAGU